AUUCGAGAUGUUGGUCAAUCAGUGAAACAUUAUCUUGAAGCAUUUCCCGACAGAUUUAAGAGAUAAUAGGUCAAUAACCUGUAAGAAAAAAGUUGCACUUUAAACAAUUAGCCCCUAACUCAAAGAUUACACACAAUAACACGCGGGAAUGUUGAGUGAAGCAUGUUCUUUGAGGCCGCUAAUAAUUGCGCUUCUUUAGAGCGGUUUGGUGUGGAGUCAUGUGGGGGUAGGGUUUACAGGUCACACUCUUUGACCAUAGGAUUUAAUGGAGGGCAGAGCGAGAUGGACAAUGAAACAAGUUUAUUUAAAAUUUGAGGUAAACAUUUGAUUUUCAUUGUUUGUGUUUGAAAAGUUUCAAAAAGUAAGCAAAAUGUCUGUGUAUAUUUAGGACAUAUAGGCGAUAAUGCAUAGUCUGAACUCAUUUCCCCACCCCCAGGCGGGGGAGAAAAUAGAUGCUCAUAGAAUUUCAUGCAUGGCAAACCUUUUUGUUGUCAGCCAGAAUGGCUGAAGUUGAAAAUACAACAUCUGCGUGGCAAGGUGACCUUCAAAUACAAUGCUUCUAAAAUGGAAGGUCAACUCAGAAUUACGCCAUUCAAUCCUCAUCGAAAAAAGAUUGACUGUUUUCCCAACCCUAAUUAUUCUGGUUCUGUACAGUAUACAUCUGUAAUCCGCCAGAUGUUGUGAGCAGCAGUAGUGUGCCGUUUAUCCACUAAUUAUUCUGGUUCUCCAGCUAAGGUGCAUCUAGUGUAGUUAGUGAAAUAGUCUAGUAUCUACUGCCCUAGUUGCUCCUUCUGGCUGGAGCACUUGUAUCCCAACUCUGGACAUUUGGUGACAGCAGUUUCAUCUGUUUUCUGUCACUGUUCAUUUCUGACCUAUGAGCUAGCAUAUGUCACAAUUUGGAAUUAAGUGUUAUAUUUUGAAAACGUUUUAGUAUAAAAAGUAAAUACCACUACCUCACUGCAUGUUCUUUCAUAUUUCUGGUAUUACGUAUUAGUCAAGUUAUCAGCCUUUUUUUUGUAGUUUGUGUCAAGUUUUAUUGGGGUAUUCCAAGUUCUAGAAUAUUCUAUGUUGUAUUGUCCUGGCAGUUCCAAAGUGCUCACAGUGCAGGUAGUUUAAAUGAACCUACUGCAGUGUGUGCACUUCAAGUAUUGCCGGUCACCCUCCCUUUGAAGCUCACUACUGAGACCACCUUGAAGAGAUCCAUCCAUGGCACAUCAUGGGUUUACUGUGAGUUUUGCAGGGUUGCUUUCAGCUUCUGAAAAUUUCCGCUGUGCAAAUCCAUGCAAAACUCUCUGUACCUGAGAGACUCAACAAACAGAGAAACCUGUGAAGAGCUUCUGUUCCCCUGGGUCCCUUUGUAUUGUUUUAUAUUGUUCAGAAAACUGCAAUAUCCUCAUGUUCAAGUUUAACACUUUUGCUUUGGUUAAGUAUGCAGCAGACAAUCUGUCAACGCAGCUGUUAUCGCGGGCUUGGUCUCGGGGAUGGCAAGCAUGGGGAUGUGUUAUGUCUGUGUGGGUUGGAAGAAUGGAUUUGCUUGGCAAGCAGUUUUUAGCUUGUUGUUUGUCUUGCUGUUUUUGGGUGGAAGACUUCGCAAUGUUAAUGAUGGCCAAAAUCGACCAAAUGAUGCACAGUAUACAUCUGUAAUCCGCCAGAUGUGAGCAGCAGCAGUGUGCCAUUUAUCCACUUUGUUCCUUCUCUAAAUUGAAAACAAUUAACACAACUGCUGAAAUAAAAGAACGUUGAAGGGUUUUUUCUGUCAUUGCUUUUCCUUUACAAAUGCAACAUCUGUAGAAGUUUGUAUCCUUCAUAGGACCAGGCUGUGGAAGCUGUGGCUAUAGCCAGUACCCCACUAGAUGGCAGUAGGUGCAUAUGGGGUGCUGCUGUACACUUGAACAAGAGAAAAGCAGAAAGCAAACUACAGUAGCACUCGGGAUUUGACAGAGAAUAUUACCAUGGUACACAUUGUUACAUAGUACUUGUACAUGUUUUUGGUAUGUGUAAUUACACUUUGGAAGGCCUGUUGUUAUAUGCAUAAGAUUUAUAAAGAAAGAAAUGUGUUAUGGCUAAAAGCUCAUAUCACCCUGAAAUUAUUGUUUUCAGAGUUAAUUUAAAAUGAUGCAUGCCACACAUGGUUGCCAAUAAAACUACCAUGUCAAUGGGUAUUGGGGACACUGAAAGGACUCACUAUAGAGUGUAAUUAUUCCAGCUGUUAAUUAAGCUAAAUCCAUGUGCUGUAAUCCUGCUGUCUUCAAAUCUUAUAGACAAUUUAGGACUGUUUUCCUGAACACAGAUUAAGC
rnacentral:lncRNA from 1 species